GAUGAACGCUGGCGGCGUGCCUAAUACAUGCAAGUCGAGCGAACAGACGAGGAGCUUGCUCCUCUGACGUUAGCGGCGGACGGGUGAGUAACACGUGGAUAACCUACCUUUAAGACUGGGAUAACUUCGGGAAACCGGAGCUAAUACCGGAUAAUAUAUUGAACCGCAUGGUUCAAUAGUGAAAGACGGUUUUGCUGUCACUUAUAGAUGGAUCCGCGCCGCAUUAGCUAGUUGGUAAGGUAACAGCUUACCAAGGGAACGAGGCGUAGCCGACCUGAGAGGGUGAUCGGCCACCCUGGAACUGAGACACGGUCCAGAGUCCUGCGGGAGGCAGCAGUAGGGAAUCUUCCGCAAUGGGCGGAAGCCUGACGGAGCAACGCCGCGUGAGUGAUGAAGGUCUUCGGAUCGUAAAACUCUGUUAUUAGGGAAGAACAAAUGUGUAAGUAACUAUGCACGUCUUGACGGUACCUAAUCAGAAAGCCACGGCUAACUACGUG
rnacentral:rRNA from 1 species